AGCGGCGGACGGGUGAGUAAUGUCUGGGAAACUGUCUGCUGGAGGGGGAUAACUACUGGAAACGGUAGCUAAUACCGCAUACCAUCAGAUGUGCCCAGAUGGGAUUAGCUAGUAGGUGGGGUAAUGGCUCACCUAGGCGACGAUCCCUAGCUGGUCUGAGAGGAUGACCAGCCACACAGGCACUGAGACACGGUCCAGGCCCCGACGGGAGGCAGCAGUGGGGAAUAUUGCACAAUGGGCGCAAGCCUGGUGCAGCCAUGCCGCGUAGGUGAAGAAGGCUUUCGGGGUGUAAAGCACUUUCAGCGGGGAGGCGUUACCCGCAGAAGAAGGACCGGCUAACUCCGUGCCAGCAGCCGCGGUAAUAC
rnacentral:rRNA from 1 species